GUGUCAGCCGCCGCGGUAAUACGAAGGGUGCAAGCGUUACUCGGAAUUACUGGGCGUAAAGCGUGCGUAGGUGGUUGUUUAAGUCUGUCGUGAAAGCCCUGGGCUCAACCUGGGAAUUGCGAUGGAAACUGGGCAACUAGAGUGUGGCAGAGGAUAGUGGAAUUCCUGGUGUAGCAGUGAAAUGCGUAGAGAUCAGGAGGAACAUCCGUGGCGAAGGCGACUGUCUGGGCCAACACUGACACUGAGGCACGAAAGCGUGGGGAGCAAACAGGAUUAGAUACCCUGGUAGUCCACGCCCUAAACGAUGCGAACUGGAUGUUGGGUGCAAUUUGGCACGCAGUAUCGAAGCUAACGCGUUAAGUUCGCCGCCUGGGGAGUACGGUCGCAAGACUGAAACUCAAAUAAAUUGGCGG
rnacentral:rRNA from 1 species